rnacentral:tRNA from 2 species
GCUGCUUUAGCUCAGUUGGUAGAGCGGUUCACUCGUAAUGAACAGGUCGUCGGUUCGAGUCCGAUAAGCAGCU